rnacentral:rRNA from 1 species
UACGUAGGGGGCAAGCGUUGUCCGGAUUUAUUGGGCGUAAAGAGCGUGUAGGCGGCUUGGUAGGUCUCGCGUCAAAACCUGAGGCUCAACCUCAGUUCGCGUGGGAAACCACCUAGCUAGAGUCCGGAAGAGGAGAACGGAAUUCCCAGUGUAGCGGUGAAAUGCGUAGAUAUGCGGAGGAACACCGAUGGCGAAGGCAAUCCCCUGGGCCUGCACUGACGCUCAUGCACGAAAGCGUGGGGAGCAAACAGG